GGUUGGAUGGUGUAGCUGGUUAUCACGUAUGGUUCACACGCAUCAGAUCCCCGGUUCGAGCCUGGGUUCGAUCA